rnacentral:lncRNA from 1 species
AAUCAUAUGAUGUUGUACUUUCAAAGUUGGAAGGUGAACGCGCUGAUUUAAACAAUCCAGAUGCAGCUCCCGCUUCUAAGGAUGAUGGUGAUAAAUCUGUUGAGAUAAUCAGUUACGGUCACAUGUUCAGCCCGUACAAGAUCGAAAAUGUGAAGCUCAAAGGAAGAGAUACAAGUGACUCUCGGAAUGGAAAUGGAGUGACGUGGUUGAUUUAG